UGCAAGUCGAGGGGCAGCAUAAUGGAUAGCAAUAUCUAUGGUGGCGACCGGCGCACGGGUGCGUAACGCGUAUGCAACCUACCUUUAACAGGGGGAUAACACUGAGAAAUUGGUACUAAUACCCCAUAAUAUCAUAGAAGGCAUCUUUUAUGGUUGAAAAUUCCGAUGGUUAGAGAUGGGCAUGCGUUGUAUUAGCUAGUUGGUGGGGUAACGGCUCACCAAGGCGACGAUACAUAGGGGGACUGAGAGGUUAACCCCCCACACUGGUACUGAGACACGGACCAGACUCCUACGGGAGGCAGCAGUGAGGAAUAUUGGUCAAUGGACGCAAGUCUGAACCAGCCAUGCCGCGUGCAGGAUGACGGCUCUAUGAGUUGUAAACUGCUUUUGUACGAGGGUAAACGCAGAUACGUGUAUCUGUCUGAAAGUAUCGUACGAAUAAGGAUCGGCUAACUCCGUGCCAGCAGCCGCGGUAAUACGGAGGAUUCAAGCGUUAUCCGGAUUUAUUGGGUUUAAAGGGUGCGUAGGCGGUUUGAUAAGUUAGAGGUGAAAUUUCGGGGCUCAACCCUGAACGUACCUCUAAUACUGUUGAGCUAGAGAGUAGUUGCGGUAGGCGGAAUGUAUGGUGUAGCGGUGAAAUGCUUAGAGAUCAUACAGAACACCGAUUGCGAAGGCAGCUUACCAAACUAUAUCUGACGUUGAGGCACGAAAGCGUGGGGAGCAAACAGGAUUAGAUACCCUGGUAGUCCACGCAGUAAACGAUGAUAACUCGUUGUCGGCGAUACACAGUCGGUGACUAAGCGAAAGCGAUAAGUUAUCCACCUGGGG
rnacentral:rRNA from 1 species